rnacentral:rRNA from 1 species
UACGUAGGGACCAAGCGUUGUUCGGAUUUACUGGGCGUAAAGGGUGCGGAGGCGGCGUGUCAAGUCAGUUGUGAAAUCUCUGAGCUUAACUCAGAACGGUCAACUGAUACUGUCAUGCUAGAGUGCAGAAGGGGCAAUCGGAAUUCUUGGUGUAGCGGUGAAAUGCGUAGAUAUCAAGAGGAACACCUGAGGUGAAGACGGGUUGCUGGGCUGACACUGACGCUGAGGCACGAAAGCUAGGGUAGCAAACGGG